GCCCAGCUGGCUCAGUCAGUAGAGCAUGUGCCUCUUGAUCUCAGGGUUGUGAGUUCAAGCCCCAUGUUAGACA
rnacentral:tRNA from 1 species